rnacentral:snRNA from 1 species
AACCGCUACCAACCGCAAA